rnacentral:lncRNA from 1 species
AUUAGCUUCAUCGUCAUCUGAUGCAGUUGUUUUAUCAACAUCUGCCAGUGGCAUAUUUUUUCAGAUCUGUAUAGAGUUAAUGUCGAAAUCAAAGUUAUUUUGGUUAAUUUUUUUACCUUUAGCUUUGUCACCAUCUGCUAUGGUUGUCCAAUCAACUCAGCCUU